rnacentral:rRNA from 1 species
UACGAAGGGGGCUAGCGUUGUUCGGAAUUACUGGGCGUAAAGCGCGCGCAGGCGGUCUUCCAAGUCAGUGGUGAAAGCCUGGAGCUCAACUCCAGAACUGCCAUUGAACUGUAGACUUGAGUACGAGAGAGGUGAGUGGAAUCCAGGUAGUACGAGGUGAAAUUCGUAGGAUAAUUGGGAAGAACAUCCGGGAUGGACGCAAGGGCGGGCAGCACGUGGCCUCGGUAACUGACGCUCAGGCGCGG